CAUGCAAGUCGAGCGGUAGCACAGAGAGCUUGCUCUCGGGUGACGAGCGGCGGACGGGUGAGUAAUGUCUGGGAAACUGCCUGAUGGAGGGGGAUAACUACUGGAAACGGUAGCUAAUACCGCAUAAUGUCGCAAGACCAAAGUGGGGGACCUUCGGGCCUCAUGCCAUCAGAUGUGCCCAGAUGGGAUUAGCUAGUAGGUGGGGUAACGGCUCACCUAGGCGACGAUCCCUAGCUGGUCUGAGAGGAUG
rnacentral:rRNA from 1 species